GAUCAGAGAAACACUGAACCAUCUGAAAGGUCGGAACACGUUGAGAUCAGAGAAACACUGAACCAUCUGAAAGGUCGGAACACGUUGAGAUCAGAGAAACACUGAACCAUCUGAAAGGUCGGAACACGUUGAGAUCAGAGAAACACUGAACCAUCUGAAAGGUCGGAACACGUUGAGAUCAGAGAAACACUGAACCAUCUGAAAGGUCGGAACACGUUGAGAUCAGAGAAACACUGAACCAUCUGAAAGGUCGGAACACGUUGAGAUCAGAGAAACACUGAACCAUCUGAAAGGUCGGAACACGUUGAGAUCAGAGAAACACUGAACCAUCUGAAAGGUCGGAACACGUUGAGAUCAGAGAAACACUGAACCAUCUGAAAGGUCGGAACACGUUGAGAUCAGAGAAACACUGAACCA